GGUAGCUCAGUGGUAGAGCGCUUGCCUUGUAUGCAUGAAGCCCUGGGUUCGAUUCCUCAGUACCA
rnacentral:tRNA from 1 species